rnacentral:lncRNA from 1 species
CAGACCCUCAACAGCAGCCAGAGGAAUUGAGCUGGACAGCAAGAACUCUUGCGUGGGAAACUUGUGAUGACAAUGCACUAUUGACCGAAGGCCCAGGAGUCCAGACAGCCAGCCAAGUCACAGGGCAAUUUCGGAUGUAGCCUUUGUAAACUGUGACCUUUCUGUAUGAUCUGGAAAAAGUCAACACCAGGAUCCUGAGCCUAAUAUGCAGUGAAAAGGAGCCCGGAGGGUGAUGACCCUGGAAAAUCAUUCCUAUAACGUCUGUGAGAAGCUCAGCACUCUGAAGAGAUACACAGAGACUGUUCACAUGAAGGAGUAACGGGUGACAUCACAUCAGCUCCGGUCCCCCAACCUUCCCUUCCUCUUAGGGGCAGCCAUAUACACAACCAAAAGCAAGCACACGGGACAAACUACUUUUUAUUCUAGAAAGAGAAAAAGGGAUUUCUGAACUCAGGUAAACUGGAAGUGAGGGAUGUUGGGGGGAAGGGAAGGAUCGAGGCAGAAAGGAGGGCCCAGGGAUGAAUGGAAUUGCAGGGCCCAGCGGCAGAGCAGACAGACCCCCAGCACACAUGUCAAACCCAAACAAGGGAAUGUUUUGAGGCUGUGCGUCCGGCAUGCCUCCAUCCCAGCCCCCUUAAGGACCACCCUGGGAAGUUCUCUAGAAAACCCAUCCAUCACAGACAACAGUCUGCUUUCUUU